rnacentral:lncRNA from 1 species
ACCGUAGAAACUUGGAUGGAGUCUGGUUACUGUAGAAAUCUUAUUGUCGGAGAAGCUCGGAUAUUGACGAAGUACGAAAGAAGUUCGGAGUAGGGUCGUCCGCAAUCGAAAGAAGUCCGAAAGGGAUUCAGAGAAUAGUUGAUUACUAUAGAAGGUCGGCUGAUAGUGAGGCCCAGAGAGCCUUUGGAGCGGCCCGAUAGAUGAAUGCAGAAGCUCAUUAUCAGAGAAGUUCGAACGGUCGAGGGGGUUCAGAGAGAUGCCACACAAGGUCGGAAGCCGAAAAAGUCCUGGAAGGGUCG